GGACGCGUGGAGUUCUUAGUUGUGCUACUGAUGAAAGUCAGAGUCGAGCUUCCGAUCAUAUUUUCUCUAUUCUUCUUGAUGACUUCAUAUGCUCGUGUAGCUGUAGCUGUUGACACACUUGCAGCAGCAUAUUCUUCAUCCUUCUUUACUUUCAUAAACUCUGUUUUCUUAUACUUCUGAUCCUUAACAGACUCGGUUCUGAACAGAAGUGAAUUUUAUAUUCCGAAAGCAACGGAAGUCGUCUCGGAAAGUGUCACUAUCAACGCACGCGCAUCUUCUUCUGUAAAUCACGAAAACGUGGCUUACCUUUGCACUCGGCGACGGAGCUUCUAGAGGAGCUCGAUUCUCUCCGGCUGAUCACUCGUUGUCGAUGGCUGCG
rnacentral:lncRNA from 1 species